rnacentral:rRNA from 1 species
GACGAACGCUGGCGGCGUGCUUAACACAUGCAAGUCGAACGGAAAGGCCCUGCUUGCAGGGUACUCGAGUGGCGAACGGGUGAGUAACACGUGGGUGAUCUGCCCUGCACUUCGUGAUAAGCCUGGGAAACUGGGUCUAAUACCGGAUAGGAGCCAUUUUUCGUGUGAUGGUUGGAAAGUUUUUUCGGUGUAGGAUGAGCUCGCGGCCUAUCAGCUUGUUGGUGGGGUAAUGGCCUACCAAGGCGGCGACGGGUAGCCGGCCUGAGAGGGUGGACGGCCACAUUGGGACUGAGAUACGGCCCAGACUCCUACGGGAGGCAGCAGUGGGGAAUAUUGCACAAUGGGCGCAAGCCUGAUGCAGCGACGCCGCGUGGGGGAUGACGGCCUUCGGGUUGUAAACUCCUUUCGCUAGGGACGAAGCUUUUUGUGACGGUACCUAGAGAAGAAGCACCGGCUAACUACGUG